GACGAACGCUGGCGGCGUGCUUAACACAUGCAAGUCGAGCGGAAAGGCCCCCCUCUUGGUGGGGGUGCUCGAGUGGCGAACGGGUGAGUAACACGUGGGUGAUCUGCCCUGUACUUGGGGAUAAUCUUGGGAAACUGGGUCUAAUACCGGAUAGGACCAUGGUUUAGUGUCUCAUGGUGGAAAGAUUAUUGUUUUGGUGCAGGAUGAGCUCGCGGCCUAUCAGCUUGUGGGUGGGGUAAUGGCCUACCAAGGCGUCGACGGGUAGCCGGUGUGAGAUGGUGGGCGGGAGCGUGUGACCUGAGAUACUGCGCAGACUCCUACGGGAGGCAGCAGUGGGGAGGCAUGAGCGAUGAGCGCAGGCCUGAUGGCGGGACGCCGCGUGGGGGAUGCCGGGCGUCGGGUGGUAGCCUCCGUUCGUUAGGGAGGAAGCCACUGUUUUUGGGUGUGGGGACGGUAAAUUUGUUAAGAAGCACCGGCUAACUACGUG
rnacentral:rRNA from 1 species